AUUGAACGCUGGCGGAAUGCUUUACACAUGCAAGUCGAACGGCAGCACGGACUUCGGUCUGGUGGCGAGUGGCGAACGGGUGAGUAAUGUAUCGGAACGUGCCCAGUCGUGGGGGAUAACGUAGUGAAAAUUACGCUAAUACCGCAUACGAUCUAUGGAUGAAAGCGGGGGAUCGCAAGACCUCGCGCGAUUGGACCGGCCCAUAUCAGAUUAGGUAGUUGGUGGGGUAAAGGCCCACCAAGCCAACGAUCUGUAGCUGGUCUGAGAGGACGACCAGCCACACUGGAACUGAGACACGGUCCAGACUCCUACGGGAGGCAGCAGUGGGGAAUAUUGGACAAUGGGCGAAAGCCUGAUCCAGCCAUUCCGCGUGCAGGAUGAAGGCCCUCGGGUUGUAAACUGCUUUUGUACAGAACGAAAAGGUUUCUACUAAUACUAGGAGCUCAUGACGGUACUGUAAGAAUAAGCACCGGCUAACUACGUGCCAGCCGCCGCUGUAA
rnacentral:rRNA from 1 species